rnacentral:rRNA from 1 species
AGACCCGAAACCCGGUGAUCUAGCCAUGGGCAGGUUGAAGGUUGGGUAACACUAACUGGAGGACCGAACCGACUAAUGUUGAAAAAUUAGCGGAUGACCUGUGGCUGGGGGUGAAAGGCCAAUCAAACCGGGAGAUAGCUGGUUCUCCCCGAAAGCUAUUUAGGUAGCGCCUCGUGAAUUCAUCUCCGGGGGUAGAGCACUGUUUCGGCUAGGGGGCCAUCCCGGCUUACCAACCCGAUGCAAACUGCGAAUACCGGAGAAUGUUAUCACGGGAGACACACGGCGGGUGCUAACGUCCGUCGUGAAGAGGGAAACAACCCAGACCGCCAGCUAAGGUCCCAAAGUCAUGGUUAAGUGGGAAACGAUGUGGGAAGGCCCAGACAGCCAGGAUGUUGGCUUAGAAGCAGCCAUCAUUUAAAGAAAGCGUAAUAGCUCACUGGUCGAGUCGGCCUGCGCGGAAGAUGUAACGGGGCUAAACCAUGCACCGAAGCUGCGGCAGCGACACUCAGGUGUUGUUGGGUAGGGGAGCGUUCUGUAAGCCUGUGAAGGUGGCCUGUGAGGGUUGCUGGAGGUAUCAGAAGUGCGAAUGCUGACAUAAGUAACGAUAAAGCGGGUGAAAAGCCCGCUC